rnacentral:rRNA from 1 species
AGGCGACCGGCCACACUGGGACUGAGAUACGGCCCAGACUCCUACGGGAGGCAGCAGUGGGGAAUAUUGCGCAAUGGGCGAAAGCCUGACGCAGCAACGCCGCGUGCGGGAUGACGGCCUUCGGGUUGUAAACCGCUUUCAGCAGGGACGAAACUGACGGUACCUGCAGAAGAAGCACCGGCUAACUACGUGCCAGCAGCCGCGGUGAUACGUAGGGUGCGAGCGUUGUCCGGAAUUAUUGGGCGUAAAGAGCUCGUAGGCGGUCUGUCGCGUCGGAAGUGAAAACUCGGGGCUCAACCCCGAGCCUGCUUUCGAUACGGGCAGACUUGAGGAAUGUAGGGGAGAACGGAAUUCCUGGUGGAGCGGUGGAAUGCGCAGAUAUCAGGAGGAACACCAGUGGCGAAGGCGGUUCUCUGGACAUUAACUGACGCUGAGGAGCGAAAGCGUGGGGAGCAAACAGGCUUAGAUACCCUGGUAGUCCACGCCGUAAACGGUGGGCACUAGGUGUGGGGAACAUUCCACGUUCUCCGUGCCGUAGCUAACGCAUUAAGUGCCCCGCCUGGGGAGUACGGCCGCAAGGCUAAAACUCAAAGGAAUUGACGGGGGCCCGCACAAGCGGCGGAGCAUGUUCAUUAAUUCGAUGCAACGCGAAGAACCUUACCUAGGUUUGACAUAUACCGGAAACAUCUGGAGACAGGUGCCCCGCAAGGUCGGUAUACAGGUGGUGCAUGGCUGUCGUCAGCUCGUGUCGUGAGAUGUUGGGUUAAGUCCCGCAACGAGCGCAACCCUCGUCCUAUGUUGCCAGCGGGUAAUGCCGGGAACUCAUAGGAGACUGCCGGGGUCAACUCGGAGGAAGGUGGGGAUGAGGUCAAGUCAUCAUGCCCCUUAAGUCUAGGGCUUGAAACAUGCUACAAUGGCUGGUACAAAGGGCUGCAAUACCGCAAGGUGGAGCGAAUCCCAUAAAGCCAGUCUCAGUUCGGAUUGGGGUCUGCAACUCGACCCCAUGAAGUCGGAGUCGCUAGUAAUCGCAGAUCAGCAAUGCUGCGGUGAAUACGCUCCCGGGCCUUGUACACACCGCCCGUCAAGUCAUGAAAGUCGGUAACACCCGAAGCCGGUGGCCCAACCCUUGUGGAGGGAGCCGUCGAAGGUGGGACCGGUAAUUAGGACUAAGUCGUAACAAGGUAGCCGUACCGGAAGGUGCGGCUG